GUCAACGGCCAUAUCACGUAGAACGCACCUGGUCUCGUCAGCUCCCAGAAGUUAAGUUACGUCGAGUCCCGUUAGUA
rnacentral:rRNA from 1 species